rnacentral:rRNA from 1 species
GAUGAACGCUGACAGAAUGCUUAACACAUGCAAGUCGACUUGAAGCAAUUUCGGUUGUGGAAAGUGGCGGACGGGUGAGUAACGCGUAAAGAACUUGCCCUUCAGUCUGGGACAACCAUUGGAAACGAUGGCUAAUACCGGAUAUUAUGGAACUCUCGCAUGGGAGGAUCAUGAAAGCUAUAUGCGCUGAAGGAGAGCUUUGCGUUCCAUUAGCUAGUUGGUGAGGUAACGGCUCACCAAGGCGACGAUGGAUAGCCGGCCUGAGAGGGUGAUCGGCCACAAGGGGACUGAGACACGGCCCUUACUCCUACGGGAGGCAGCAGUGGGGAAUAUUGGACAAUGGACCAAAAGUCUGAUCCAGCAAUUCUGUGUGCACGAUGAAGGUUUUCGGAUCGUAAAGUGCUUUCAGUUGGGAAGAAGAAAGUGACGGUACCAACAGAAGAAGCGACGGCUAAAUACGUGCCAGCAGCCGCGGUAAUACGUAUGUCGCAAGCGUUAUCCGGAUUUAUUGGGCGUAAAGCGCGUCUAGGCGGGUUCAUAAGUCUGAUGUUAAAAUGCGGGGCUCAACUCCGUAUUGCGUUGGAAACUGUGAACCUAGAGUAUCAGAGAGGUGGGCGGAACUACAAGUGUAGAGGUGAAAUUCGUAGAUAUUUGUAGGAAUGCCGAUGGAGAAGUCAGCUCACUGGAUGAAUACUGACGGUAAAGCGCGAAAGCGUGGGUAGCAAACAGG